GAUGAACGCUGGCGGCGUGCCUAAUACAUGCAAGUCGAGCGAACGGACGAGAAGCUUGCUUCUCUGAUGUUAGCGGCGGACGGGUGAGUAACACGUGGAUAACCUACCUAUAAGACUGGGAUAACUUCGGGAAACCGUAGCUAAUACCGGAUAAUAUUUUGAACCGCAUGGUUCAAAAGUGAAAGACGGUCUUGCUGUCACUUAUAGAUGGAUCCGCGCUGCAUUAGCUAGUUGGUAAGGUAACGGCUUACCAAGGCAACGAUGCAUAGCCGACCUGAGAGGGUGAUCGGCCACACUGGAACUGAGACACGGUCCAGACUCCUACGGGAGGCAGCAGUAGGGAAGCUUCCGCAAUGGGCGAAAGCCUGACGGAGCAACGCCGCGUGAGUGAUGAAGGUCUUCGGAUCGUAAAACUCUGUUAUUAGGGAAGAGCAUAUGUGUAAGUAACUGUGCACAUCUUGACGGUACCUAAUCAGAAAGCCACGGCUAACUACGUG
rnacentral:rRNA from 1 species